GAUGAACGCUGGCGGCGUGCCUAAUACAUGCAAGUCGAGCGAACGGACGAGAAGCUUGCUUCUCUGAUGUUAGCAGCGGACGGGUGAGUAACACGUGGAUAACCUACCUAUAAGACUGGGAUAACUUCGGGAAACCGGAGCUAAUACCGGAUAAUAUUUUGAACCGCAUGGUUCAAAAGUGAAAGACGGUCUUGCUGUCACUUAUAGAUGGAUCCGCGCUGCAUUAGCUAGUUGGUAAGGUAACGGCUUACCAAGGCAACGAUGCAUAGCCGACCUGAGAGGGUGAUCAGCCACACUGGAACUGAGACACGGUCCAGACUCCUACGGGAGGCAGCAGUAGGGAAUCUUCCGCAAUGGGCGAAAGCCUGACGGAGCAACGCCGCGUGAGUGAUGAAGGUCUUCGGAUCGUAAAACUCUGUUAUUAGGGAAGAACAUAUGUGUAAGUAACUGUGCACAUCUUGACGGUACCUAAUCAGAAAGCCACGGCUAACUACGUG
rnacentral:rRNA from 1 species